UACGGGAGGCAGCAGGGGGAAUAUUGCACAAUGGGCGCAAGCCUGAUGCAGCCAUGCCGCGUGUAUGAAGAAGGCCUUCGGGUUGUAAAGUACUUUCAGUCGUGAGGAAGGUGUUAAGGUUAAUAACCUUAGCAAUUGACGUUAGCGACAGAAGAAGCACCGGCUAACUCCGUGCCAGCAGCCGCGGUAAUACGGAGGGUGCGAGCGUUAAUCGGAAUUACUGGGCGUAAAGGGCACGCAGGCGGUUAAUUAAGUUGGAUGUGAAAUCCCCGGGCUUAACCUGGGAAUGGCAUUCAAGACUGGUUAGCUAGAGUCUUGUAGAGGGGGUAGAAUUCCAUGUGUAGCGGUGAAAUGCGUAGAGAUGUGGAGGAAUACCGGUGGCGAGGCGGCCCCUGGACAAGACUGACGCUCAUGUGCGAAAGCGUGGGGAGCAAACGAGGGAUUAGAUA
rnacentral:rRNA from 1 species